rnacentral:rRNA from 1 species
GACGAACGCUGGCGGCGUGCUUAACACAUGCAAGUCGAACGGAAAGGCCCCUUUGGGGGUACUCGAGUGGCGAACGGGUGAGUAACACGUGAGUAACCUGCCCUUGACUUCGGGAUAACUUCAGGAAACUGGGGCUAAUACCGGAUAGGAAUCCUUGCUGCAUGGUGGGGGUUGGAAAGCUUCGGCGGUUUUGGAUGGACUCGCGGCUUAUCAGCUUGUUGGUGGGGUAGUGGCUUACCAAGGCUUUGACGGGUAGCCGGCCUGAGAGGGCGACCGGCCACAUUGGGACUGAGAUACGGCCCAGACGCCUACGGGAGGCAGCAGUGGGGAAUAUUGCACAAUGGGCGGAAGCCUGAUGCAGCAACGCCGCGUGCGGGAGGACGGCCUUCGGGUUGUAAACCGCGUUCAGCAGGGGCGAAGCUUGUGGUGACGGUACCUGCAGAAGAAGCACCGGCUAACUACGUG